GUGAGGAAGGCGGCGUCAGCGGAUUUCUCCACGCCUUCAUCGCGGAAGUGUUCGCCAUGGUGCGGGCCCACGUGGCCGCGCUGGGGGGCAACGCCGUGGUCUCCUACAUCAUGAAGCAGUGCGUCUUCAUGGAGAAUCCAAACAAGAACCAGGCCCAGUGCCUCAUCAACGUCAGCGGGGACGCCGUCAUCUUCGUCCGCGAAUCCGAAUCGGAGACGGCGCCGGCCACCGGCUACCAGCCCGCUCCGGCCACCCCGGCGGCCACCCCGGCCCCCGUCACCGCCUGAGCCGCGCGCCGGACGGUCCCGGAGCCCACCCCCUCCUCCUCCUUCGGAUCCCGCGGUCAUUCGUCGGGUCGCACGUCCGGGACCUCGGGGGGGGGGGGGGGGGGGGGGGCAGACGGACACCCGGAAGGGCUCCGGCCGACGAGAGGUGCCCUCGGCCCGUCGAAAUCCAGCCGGGAGCCGGGGGCGGGGGAUCCGGGCCUGGCGGACACCCGCCCGGACGGCGGGAGCGUCAAGCCAGUCUCGGCCGCUGACGACGACGCUCCGGAAGGAGGGAGGGCGAUGGGAGCGGGCUCCGCAUUUUUCCAAAUAAGUAAAUCACCAAGCAGGUCAUUUACCUAACCGGUGAUCGACCAAAUAAGACGGGAAGCCAACCCGAGAAGCCCCGGCCCGGCUGCCCCGAGGCCACGGAGGGCAGAGCGUCCGACACGGCGACGGGGUUCUCUCUCUUCGGAGCGGGAAGCCGGAGAGACGGUUCUGGGAAGCUGGGGAGCCAAACCCGAAAAGCUCCUAGUCGACUGAGCAAUCUGGUGACCGCCGAAAGGGGAAGCAGUUUCUUUACAAGCCUUUGUUGUUGUAUUUUAACUUUCGAAACGCUUGAAAGUAUAAUAAUUGUUAGGCCAGGACUGUCGUGACGCAGAAGGGAGUUUACCGGUGUCAGUGCAUUUCGUUGUAAGCGUCUGUCAUUUUUGAGGGAAUGGAAAGGUUAAUUUAUGGCUUACUCCAGAAAUACAGAUAUUUUGUUCGGUCGGUCCUGGCUGGGUAAAUUGGAAAGCAAGAUAGGUUUCCUGUAGCAUUCCUUUCUAGCAGGCCAAGUCCAAUUCUGGGAAGAAAAAAAUAAUUGGAGAAAAUAGAGGCAGGGAGAAAAGCACAUUUCUAGCCAACUCUUCGACUUGGGUUAAUUAAAAUAAAAAGGAAAGAUGUAGAUCGGUUGUGGAUGGUGAGGUUUGGACCGCGCUGGAUGUGGAAUGUGGAAUACGAAACUUGAAUGUAAAUAUGCUGCAGCGUUGACUUAAGGCAUAGGAAUGAUUCGUUUCUGUCAAUGCCAAAUUCCCAAUGUAAAUGAUCGUCCCAAGGCACAUUCCUCUUUGCACAAUAAAAUUUCUUUAUGAAACUUCAGCUUUCGGUGGGACGCCUGCAGAAUCAACAGCUCGACGGUAAGGAUGUAUUAUCAGUAUGCAUUCAUUCAGUCGUAUAUAUUGAGCGCUUACUGUGUGCAGAGCACUGUACUAAGCGCUUGGAAAGUACAAUUUGGCAACGAACAGAGGCAGUCCCUACCCACCAGCGGCCUCACAGUCUAGAAGCGGGGAGACAGACAGGAAAAGAAAACAAGUAGACAGGCAUCCAUAGCAUCAGUAUAAAUAAAUAGAAUUAGAGGUAUAUACACAUCAUUAAUAAAAUCGAAUAAUAAAUAUAGACAUAGAUACACAAGAGCUGUGGGGCAAGAAGGGGAACAGAGCAGAGGGAGGGAGUCGGGGCGACGGGAAGGGGAGGAGGAGCGGAGGGAAAGGGGGGCUCGGGCGGGGAAGGCCUCCCGGAGGAGGUGAGCUCUCAGGAGGGCUUUGAAGAGGGGAAGAGAGGGAGUUGGGCGGAGGCGAGGAGGGAGGGCGUUCCGGGACGGCGGGAGGACGCGGGCCGGGGGUCGAC
rnacentral:lncRNA from 1 species